UUUUAUUUAUUUUGUUUUAAUGAAUCAGCUGCCAUCUAUAACAAAGAAAUUCCAGCAAAGUUUAGGCCCGUUGUUCUUGAGGGAUGUAGUACACAGGCUGCUUAAAUAGAUGUAACAGGAUGAAAUAAUAAGAUGUAGGGUCUGCUGAGUAAAGAGAUUCCAUCUUCAAAGGAUGCAUUCAAUACCUAUAUAGUAUGAUUAAACUCAUUGCUGGGAUUUUUCAGUUUCAGAGAGUGAGUACUCAGAUUUUUU